GACGAACGCUGGCGGCGUGCUUAACACAUGCAAGUCGAACGGCAGGGCCCUGCUUUUGUGGGGUGCUGGAGUGGGGAACGGGUGAGUAACACGUGUGUAACCUGCCCUUGAUUUUGGGAUAACUUCAGGUAACUGGGGCUAAUCCCGUACAGGAGCCCCCGCUGCAUGGUGGGGGGUGGAAAGUUUCGGCGGUCGGGGCUGGACGGGCGGCUUAUCAGCUAGUUGGUGGGGGAGUGGCUUACCAAGGCUGUGACGGGUAGCCGGCCUGAGAGGGUGACCGGCCACAUGGGGACUAAGGGACGCCGCAGUGUCGUACGGGGGGCAGCAGUGGGAAGUCUUACACAGUGGGAGGGCGCCGGUGACGGAAACGCCCGGGGCGUGAAGCCGGCCUUCGGGUUGUGAACCGCUUUCGCCUGAGACGAAGCGUGAGUGACGGUAAUGAGUAAAGAAGCACCGGCUAACUACGUG
rnacentral:rRNA from 1 species